rnacentral:tRNA from 1 species
GCAGUGGUAGUUCAGUGGUAGAAUUCCUCACCUCCCAUGUGGAGACCUGAGUUCAAUUCCCAGCUAACGCA